UUCUACCGAUUGAUAAUGAGGUGAAUUAGGUGGAUAAGAGCCGCCUCGGCGCGUUCUUAGAAGCUUUGUGAACCUUGUUAUUUAGAGGAAGGAAAAGUCGUAACAAGGUUUCCGUAGGUGAACCUGCGGAAGGAUCAUUAUUAUACUUA
rnacentral:rRNA from 1 species